UGCUUGUGUCGCGUCUGCUGCUUGCCGUGGGAGCUGCACUAAGAGGCAGCAGCGUGUGGCUCGUGCCCACCUUCUCCCAUUGCUCUCCCGGUGAAGAGCCGACCCAGAAUAUGAACAAAAAUCUCAACUAUAUAGUAGUUAUCUGGCUUGGGAUUUGUCAACCAGAGGAUGAAGUAAUGAAGAGGAUGAUGUAAAGAAACUCUACCUUCACUUUCACUAGAAAUAAUUACCCAGGUUCUCCAGAUCCUUGCUGCAGAUGCAGCAAAUUUUUUUUGCUUAUU